GGGGAAUAUUGCACAAUGGGGGAAACCCUGAUGCAGCGACGCCGCGUGAGCGAUGAAGUAUUUCGGUAUGUAAAGCUCUAUCAGCAGGGAAGAAACUGACGGUACCUGACUAAGAAGCACCGGCUAAAUACGUGCCAGCAGCCGCGGUAAUACGUAUGGUGCAAGCGUUAUCCGGAUUUACUGGGUGUAAAGGGAGCGUAGACGGACUUGCAAGUCUGAAGUGAAAGCCCGGGGCUCAACCCCGGGACUGCUUUGGAAACUGUAGGUCUAGAGUGCUGGAGAGGUAAGUGGAAUUCCUAGUGUAGCGGUGAAAUGCGUAGAUAUUAGGAGGAACACCAGUGGCGAAGGCGGCUUACUGGACAGUAACUGACGUUGAGGCUCGAAAGCGUGGGGAGCAAAC
rnacentral:rRNA from 1 species